GACGAAGAACGCAGCGAAAUGCGAUAAGUAAUGUGAAUUGCAGAAUUCCGUGAAUCAUCGAAUCUUUGAACGCACAUUGCGCCCUCUGGUAUUCCGAGGGGCAUGCCUGUUCGAGCGUCAUUAUAACCCCUCAAGCUCAGCUUGGUGUUGGGGCCUGCUGCACUGGCAGCCCUUAAAAUCAGUGGCGGCGCCAUCUGGCUCUAAGCGUAGUAAUUCUUCUCGCUAUGGAGUCCUGGUGGAUGCUUGCCAUCAACCCCCAAUUUUUCUAUGGUUGACCUCGGAUCAGGUAGGGAUACCCGCUGAACUUAAGCAUAUCAAUAAGCGGAGGA
rnacentral:misc_RNA from 1 species